CUGGAUGUGGCCUGCCUAGAGCACCUUCAGCUCUGCUGGACACAGAGGCCAAAGCCUGAAGCCUCUGAAGCCAGGAGGUAUAGAUUCCCUGGUAUUAAUCUAGAGACAGACUACAGAGAGAAGUUGCAGCAUAACGAAAGAAGCAAAGUUAUGCAGUAAGCUUGUCAGCACAGUAGAGCCAGAGAGCAACAGAUGUAGCAGAGUUGAGUUUGUUUGCCUGUCAGAGUUAAUGCUAAUGCCUGCUGGGAACCAAGACAUAGCCUUAAACUGUUGGAGAAACAUUUAUUCA